rnacentral:lncRNA from 12 species
UAAAAAGCAAGACUUAAUUUUCCUCUGCUCGCUUUGGGGUCUGCCAGUGUGGAAGCUGGGAACAGAUGUGUGCUCCAGCAGCUAAUGAGUUUGAGGAUAGGCACGAGGGAAAGUCAUCCUCUGGAGACAUAUAAUCCAAGGAAAAGCAGAAGCACAUGUAAGAGAAUGGAUGGGACAUGGAAUAAUAAUAAAUUCUUUUGCCAUGGCUCGAGGCCAGGAAGAUGGGAUUGCUGAUAAGCAGGUGAAUCAUGUCAAAAUGAGGUAAGAAUAUUAUUUUGUUCUCUCCUUGGACACAGGGAUUCCAUUCAGGGGAAAGUGCUUUGAUUAAAUGGAGGUUGCUUCCAGGCUACACAACCCCCCUUCCUCUGGGUAGGAGUGAACCCCAAAGAUCCAUCUUGGCAAAAUAAUGUACCAAACUCCUAAGGAAUAGGCUGCCAACAGCAUUAUAAGGAAGGUAUAACUUGG